UAGGGAAUCUUCCACAAUGGACGCAAGUCUGAUGGAGCAACGCGCGUGAGUGAAGAAGGUCUUCGGAUCGUAAACUCUGUUGUUAGAGGAGAACACGAGUGAGAGUAACUGUUCAUUCGAUGACGGUAUCUAACCAGCAAGUCACGGCUAACUACGUGCCAG
rnacentral:rRNA from 1 species